UACGUAGGGUGCGAGCGUUGUCCGGAAUUAUUGGGCGUAAAGAGCUCGUAGGCGGUGUGUCACGUCGGCCGUGAAAACCUGCAGCUUAACUGUGGGCGUGCGGUCGAUACGGGCAUCACUGGAGUUCGGCAGGGGAGACUGGAAUUCCUGGUGUAGCGGUGAAAUGCGCAGAUAUCAGGAAGAACACCCGUGGCGAAGGCGGCUCUCUGGUACGUGACUGGACGGCUGAGACGCGAAA
rnacentral:rRNA from 1 species